rnacentral:rRNA from 1 species
UACAUGAAGCUGGAAUUGCUAGCAAUCACAGGUCAGCAUACUGUGGUGAAUACGUUCCCGGGCCUUGUACACACCGCCCGUCACACCAUGAGAGUUGAGAAUACCCGAAGCCCAUGUCAAAGUGGUCGAAGGUAGGCUUGAUGAUUGGGGUGAAGUCGUAACAAGGUAAC